UACAGAGGGGGCCAGCGUUAUUCGGAAUUAUUGGGCGUAAAGGGCGCGUAGGCGGCCUGGCAAGUGGAAGGUGAAAUCCCUCGGCUUAACCGAGGAACUGCCCUCCAAACUGCUUGGCUUGAGUCCGGGAGAGGUGAGUGGAAUUCCCAGUGUAGCGGUGAAAUGCGUAGAUAUUGGGAGGAACACCAGUGGCGAAGGCGGCUCACUGGACCGGAACUGACGCUGAGGCGCGAAAGCGUGGGGAGCAAACGGG
rnacentral:rRNA from 1 species